rnacentral:rRNA from 1 species
UGGGGGAUAUUGCACAAUGGGCGAAAGCCUGAUGCAGCGACGCCGCGUGGGGGAUGAAGGCUUUCGGGUUGUAAACCUCUUUCGCUAUCGAACAAGGCCCGCUUAGGGUGGGUUGAGGGUAGGUGGAGAAGAAGCGCCGGCUAACUACGUGCCAGCAGCCGCGGUAAUACGUAGGGCGCGAGCGUUGUCCGGAAUUAUUGGGCGUAAAGGGCUUGUAGGCGGCUUGUUGCGCCUGCUGUGAAAACGCGGGGCUUAACUUCGCGCGUGCAGUGGGUACGGGCAGGCUUGAGUGUGGUAGAGGUGACUGGAAUUCCAGGUGUAGCGGUGGAAUGCGCAGAUAUCUGGAGGAACACCGAUGGCGAAGGCAGGUCACUGGGCCAUUACUGACGCUGAGGAGCGAAAGCAUGGGUAGCGAACAGG